rnacentral:tRNA from 1 species
AAGAGUAUAGCUAAGAUAGUAUAGCAUCUCCCUUACACUGAGAAGACAUUCGUGCAACUCGAAUUACUCUUA